rnacentral:rRNA from 1 species
UACGGAGGGUGCAAGCGUUAAUCGGAAUUACUGGGCGUAAAGCGCACGCAGGUGGCUGAGAUAGUCGAUUGUGAAAGCCCUGGGCUUAACCUGGGAAUUGCAUUCGAUACUACUCGGCUAGAGUAUGAGAGAGGGCAGUGGAAUUCCCGGUGUAGCGGUGAAAUGCGUAGAUAUCUGGAGGAAUACCGGUGGCGAAGGCGGCAUCCUGGACCGAGAUUGACACUGAUGAGCGAAAGCCAGGGGAGCAAACGGG